rnacentral:siRNA from 1 species
UAAGUGUACCCAUCUCGUUUG